rnacentral:misc_RNA from 1 species
GGAGUACCUAAGCAAAUCCUAAAGUUAAAACAAUGAAUCCCUAAAGAAGAUAGGAAGAAAUGCCAUAGAUAAAAACAACCCAUGUUCACUUUUUCUCUCUCUAAACAUUGAAAUUCAACCAAAACAAAAAACAAAAGUUGAUAAGAAUCCUUUCUUUCUUUCUUUGUGUGUGUGUGUGUCUAGCUAGGGUUUGCAUUUCUUUCACAAUUUUGGUUGUUUCAGUAGGAGAGAAAAGAGGAUCUAAGAGUUAGCCAAGAGAAGAAAUUAGUGAGAAAAUAAAGUAGAAAAAGAUCAUCAGAGGAAGGAGGGAUGGGUAGAGGAAGAGUUGAGCUGAAGAGGAUAGAAAACAAGAUAAAUAGACAAGUCACUUUUGCAAAGAGGAGAAAUGGAUUGCUCAAAAAAGCUUAUGAACUAUCUGUGCUUUGUGAUGCUGAAGUUGCUCUACUCGUUUUCUCUAAUCGUGGAAAACUCUAUGAAUUCUGCAGCACAAACAAUAUGCUCAAAACACUUGAUAGGUACCAAAAGUGCAGCUAUGGAACAUUGGAAGUCAAUCGAUCAAUCAAAGAUAAUGAGCAAAGCAGCUAUAGGGAAUACUUGAAACUCAAAGCCAAAUAUGAGUCGCUGCAGCGAUAUCAAAGACACCUUCUUGGAGAUGAGUUGGGGCCUCUGACUAUAGAUGAUCUUGAGCAUCUUGAAGUCCAACUAGAUACUUCCCUCAAACACAUUAGGUCCACCAGGACACAAAUGAUGCUUGAUCAGCUUUCUGAUCUUCAAACUAAGGAGAAAUUGUGGAAUGAGGCUAACAAGGUUCUUGAAAGAAAGAUGGAAGAAAUAUAUGCUGAAAACAACAUGCAACAAGCAUGGGGUGGUGGUGAGCAAAGUCUCAAUUAUGGUCAGCAGCAACAUCCUCAAUCUCAGGGUUUCUUCCAACCUCUAGAGUGCAACUCUUCCUUGCAAAUUGGGUACGAUCCAAUAACAACUUCAAGCCAAAUAACAGCAGUAACAAAUGCCCAAAACGUGAAUGGUAUGAUACCUGGUUGGAUGCUGUGAAUGAAAAAGUCCUUUAUCUUCAGCUUUGCAUAAAAGCAUAUGAAGUAUAUUUCUAUAAUAAUAAAGGAAAACUCCAGUACCUUUAUUUUCAGCAAAAUACCCUAAUUAAGGUGAACGUUGUGAACCAUUUUCUUUGCAUAAAAACAAACUUGUUUGCUUGGAAAUGUUUUAUUUUAUUCAAAUCAUAAUGUGGAUGUUGCUGAAUAUGAUGAUUAUUAGCAUCUUUCAUGUGAAUUCAGUUUCUUUUGUGUAUUCAGG